GGUUGGCUCGUGCGGUCCCAAAUUUGUACUUUACCUACUGGGGCAGCUCCGCCCCUCCCCCCGUCUGUGUCCCAAAUCUCUCACAAUCGGCCUUAAAAAAUACGACACAUUUCUGCUCCUGUGGCGUCUGAACCGGACUCAACACCGUUCAUCUAGUUGUUUGUGUGUUCAGUUUGUGUUCAGUUUGUGUUCAGUUUGUUUGUUCAGUUUGUGUUCAGUUUGUGUGUUCAGUUUGUGUUCAGUUUGUGUUCAGUUUGUGUCUUCAGUUCCCGUCCUGCUGUGGUUGAUCUCUUCCUCCUCUCUCAUCCACUCGUCCUCAUGUCUUGUUUUCUUGUUGUCGUCGUCUGGAUGGUAUUCCUAAACACGUCCGUGUCUCCUAGGACAACAGAUCCUCCCUGCGGCUGCGCUCCAGCGUGGAGCUUCCUGUCUCCGGCCCAGAUGUAAUUACCAUGCUUUUAGGAGUGAAGAGCGACCGGAUGAACUCCAUCUCCUGUCUCUGCUGCAGAUGGACCGGAUCAUUCUGAUCUGGAGGUUCAGAGACGCCUGGAGGCCGAGACCCGCCGCUGCAGCCAAACGCUCAGGGACGCCCAGCAGGCAGAGCUGCUGCCGCUUUCCUCCUCCUCUCCAGUGUGUCUGCACACAAAGUUUGGUUCAGUCGCAUGGAGACACGAUAAAUAAAUGAAUCUCCAGAAUUACAUAA